UGGACCGAUGAUGACAGCUAGUGACGUAUGAGUUGUAUAUGAUGAGUACUUGUGUGUCUGAAACUCUGAGGUCCAG
ensembl:snoRNA